CGCAGUGUUGCUUCGUUCUCUUGCGUUCUACUUUUCUAAUACCUACUCCUCUUCUCUCUACAUAUUAGGCGUUGGUAGAGAAAAUAAUCGCUUAACUUAACUGCUGGUGUAAUUAAACUUUUAAACGAUAUCGUGUACUUUGCCAACAUAAAUAAUAGUAUUUAUUAAUGAUAAUAUUAAGAUUUGCAGGUAUGAUUACGUACCGUAUAAACUAAAAGCUAAAAAUAUGACACGUUAGUUGUAAUAGUGGAAAUUAAAUUGUCUAUCUAUAUUAAAACAAUACUGAAGAAGUGAAUUGAUUAUGAUAGAGUUUUGAGAUCGUGCGACGUUGCCGGAGCGCUUCAUUGUUAGGCAUCCGCACGAACUACACGAAAUAAGCCGAGUAGGCCCGACGUGGAUGUGGGUUUAAAAUAGAAUGGGUAGGAUAUUAUUAACGUGUAUCCCCUUUAGCCUUUCAGUAACAAAGAAUGAGAAGAAGAUGGCUACGAAACUUAAAUCAAUUUAAUUCAAACAAUCUAGCAGUUUUUAUAGUACAGUUAUUAGCGAAACUAAAAAAUAUAAAAACAUGUGGACCUGCGAUCCCCAAUAAUAUCCCUGAUAAUGUACAAAAUUAGUUAAGAAAUAGCAGAUAUCGAGUACAAAUAAAUGUGGAGUAGUUUUAAUCAUAAGUAUAUAUAUCAUAUAUAACUAUAAGUAAUAAAGAUAAUAUUUUAGACUAAGAGCGCCUUCGUAAUAUAGCAUACGGUAUAAAAGGUCAAGCACCUAUUCACAAAGCACGUUACUCCAGUAGUGAUACCGUGUCUUAAAAUUAAUAUCUCCUAAAGGUAUUUUGUGCUUCAAGGUCUAACAUGGCUUAGUGCGUCAGACAUCAAUUGACAAGAACAUAUGUAAUUAUAUUAUAGUAUGCUGUAAUGGAAAUAAUAAGUACUAACUAAAUAAAAAGAACUAAGAAGAACAUGAAUAGCAGCCCGGCAACAUCGCUCUAAAAAACGCCACGGUCGCGGCACGAGUCGCACGUCAUUUGCCAGUGUUCAAUCUAUGCGACGUUGCCGCAUUUCCUCAAACGCCACUAACUGCCAAUAAAGAACGUCAGGAAACACUUUACAUUUAAGGACUUCAUCGAAUAGAAGCGAAAUCUGAAGUACCAAAAAAGAAGCUCCUAAAACAGGCUUAGUCAGUCGAUACUGCUAAAUACCUACAUAGUAAAAAAAAGAAUGAUAUAUAAAAACCAGGGUUCGAAAUAAGAAUGAGGUCCUGUAAAGAAAACUGAGAUCUAAUAUGCUUACCAAAUAUGACACCAACUGCUGUCGCCUUAUCCAGCUGUUCCAGGUUGAAAUUCCAGCAGCACGCAAAGAAGUUUCUCGAAGAACAGUGUGUCAUCGAAUGCUCUGCGCGGCGGCCUGCAAAUGUUUCGUUUCGCGGGAUAUCGUCCGCCAUCUUGUCGUUUUACGUGUUAUACAUGAGUAUGAGUGAGAUAGCUAUAUCUAAACUUUCUCAUUUUAGUCGCUUUUGCCAUUUCAUGAUAUGCUCAAUAACUUAUACGUUAUCUCGAUAAAGAACUUGUAAAGAGCUGUGUUUUUUCAUGGCUAGGAAAUGCUAAAAUUUACUUCUCUUUUAGGUGUGUCUCGAAGACAGCUAAUUAUUCGAUUUAAUCUAUUAACGAAUGUAUUCUGGAGCAUGCUAAUACCAAGUUCAGGUUUAAAGUAUCUGCCAUUAAAGAACAACGUUCAAUUAUUCCAUUGAAAAAAAAACGGUUGAGGUUAGUUACACAGUAACCAAGUUACCCAAAUUAAAUCCUUAUGUGAUUACGAUUCUCAAAAUCAUCGUUUCCGAUAAUGAAAAGGCAAGGCAUCUAGGUCUGAAGUUGUACACGAGAAUAAAUAUUCUUAUUUUUA